rnacentral:rRNA from 1 species
AUUGAACGCUGGCGGCAGGCCUAACACAUGCAGGUCGAGCGGAUGAAGGGAGCUUGCUCCUGGAUUCAGCGGCGGACGGGUGAGUAAUGCCUAGGAAUCUGCCUGGUAGUGGGGGAUAGCGUCCGGAAACGGGCGCUAAUACCGCAUACGUCCUGAGGGAGAAAGUGGGGGAUCUUCGGACCUCACGCUAUCAGAUGAGCCUAGGUCGGAUUAGCUAGUUGGUGGGGUAAAGGCCUACCAAGGCGACGAUCCGUAACUGGUCUGAGAGGAUGAUCAGUCACACUGGAACUGAGGCACGGUCCAGACUCCUACGGGAGGCAGCAGUGGGGAAUAUUGGACAAUGGGCGAAAGCCUGAUCCAGCCAUGCCGCGUGUGUGAAGAAGGUCUUCGGAUUGUAAAGCACUUUAAGUUGGGAGGAAGGGCAGUAAGUUAAUACCUUGCUGUUUUGACGUUACCAACAGAAUAAGCACCGGCUAACUUCGUG